rnacentral:tRNA from 1 species
GGGGCGGUAGCUCAGCUGGGAGAGCACCUGCCUUGCACGCAGGGGGUCGAGGGUUCGAAUCCCUUCCGCUCCA